rnacentral:lncRNA from 1 species
AAGUCCCUCCUAAUAUGUGAGUGGUUCCUUUCCAAGGCAUAAACAGUUGAUGCCUUCUUUUUGAUCAUACUACUUCUAAAAGGCUUAUCUGGAGUUUUGGGUAGAUAUGAUGGUGGAACUUACUUACCCUGCAUAUGUUGUCGAGUCAAACCCAGGACCAUACUGGAGGGAGUGCGCCAUACCCUUAGAUCAGAAUGUGCAAGUGUGUGGAAUUUUUGGUGGAAUCCUAUCACUAAUUUUAUUGCAACAUUCCUUGCAUCAAGACUCUCUUUUGAAAUGUGAUGAAAAACUUUUGAGGAUAUGGGCUCUAACACAAAUUUUAUAUUUUAUAUUUUUAUUUUUUUGGACGGGUAUGAAUCUUUCCCAGUUUUGCCCCUUUGGCAUUUUUCUCAUAAUUUUUUUCUACAUAUAUAGCCCAUUCCUAUGAUUCUUGAUGAAAACGAAAGACAGCUUUAUGAUAACAAAUGCAAUGAAUGUAUAUGAAUGCACAAUUCUCAGGGUGAGAUAUUGGCAUUUUUAUUUGGUGAAUAUAUGUGCGCAACCCUCAGUGUAAGAGUUGGUGAAAUUUUGGGUGGAUGGAGAAAGCAUGUUGUGCGUGACUUCUCAGUGUGAGAGUCGGCUUUUAUAUGGUGGGUGCAAGUGAAUUCUGAUCUUAGAGGCAUGAAACAUCUCUCGACAGCGGUCCUAAAAUUUGACUAAACUCAACACAGAGCAAGCAGCAUAUGUAGAAGGUUUAAUCAUGAACAAAAUAUUUGGCCAUGGUAGGAAUAAACCUUGAUCAUUCAAGAAACUUGCUAUUGAAUUUUGCUUUUUAUAAAUGAAAACUCAAGUACUUUGCAAGAACCAGCAAGCAUCAUGUCAUCCUACUAUAUCACAUACGUCAAUUACUUAGAUAAAAUGGGAUCCCUAUAACAAGUGUUCAUAAAUCUCUAGGGAUAUUAGCUAAGAAUAAAAAGUAUGCAAAAACAUAUUUGAACAAAGGAGACAUGUUCGAUGGAGUACGAAGGUAACAUCUUUUUAAACAUUUCAUUUGAAAAUAUUUUUGUGGGUAGAGGGUUCGGACAAACCGAGAUUUUUUAUUAAAUAGUCCUUCCCCCACACUUGUUUUCUUUCCUAUCAUGGUUAGUCACAAUAUAUAUAGAAAACAAGUGCACAAGAUAAACACAGCUUUUUUUAUUGAUAACU